rnacentral:rRNA from 1 species
AAUGAACGCUGGCGGCGUGCUUAACACAUGCAAGUCGAACGAGAAAGGGAUUGCUUGCAGUCCUGAGUAGAGUGGCGCACGGGUGAGUAACACGUGGAUAAUCUACCUUUGAAUCCGGGAUAACUGUUCGAAAGGAUCGCUAAUACCGGAUAAAGUCAAUCUUUCUUUGGAAUAAUUGAUGAAAGACAGCCUCUUCUUGAAAGCUGUUGUUUGAAGAUGAGUCCGCGCACCAUUAGUUAGUUGGUGGGGUAACGGCCUACCAAGACAGCGAUGGUUAGCUGGUCUGAGAGGAUGAUCAGCCACACUGGAACUGACACACGGUCCAGACUCCUACGGGAGGCAGCAGUGAGGAAUUUUGCGCAAUGGGGGCAACCCUGACGCAGCAACGCCGCGUGAGUGAAGAAGGCCCUUGGGUCGUAAAACUCUGUCAAUGGGGAAGAAGUUACUUCAUAUAAAUAGUAUGUAGUAUUGACGGUACCCA